AAACUUAAAUGAAUUGACGGGGAGCACCACGAACGGGUGGAGCUUGCUAGUUUAAUUGGAUUCAACGCCGGAAAUCUUACCGGGACCGACAGCAAUAUGAAGGCCAGGCUGAAGACUUUUGCCGGAUUAGCUGAGAGGUGGUGCAUGGCCGUCGUCAGUUCGUACUGUGAAGCAUCCUGUUAAGUCCGGCAACGAGCGAGACCCACGCCCACAGUUGCCAGCGUACUCUCCGGAGUGACGGGUACACUGUGGGACCGCCGCUGCUAAAGCGGAGGAAGGAAUGGGCAACGGUAGGUCAGUAUGCCCCGAAUAUCCCGGGCUACACGCGAGCUACAAUGGUUGGUACAAUGGGUAUCUACCCCGAAAGGGGACGGGAAUCUCCUAAAACCAAUCUUAGUUCGGAUUGAGGGCUGCAACUCGCCCUCACGAAGCUGGAUUUCGUAGUAAUCGCGGGUCAACAUCCCGCGGUGAAUAUGCCCCUGCUCUUU
rnacentral:rRNA from 1 species